rnacentral:rRNA from 1 species
AAGGAAUAUUGGUCAAUGGACGCAAGUCUGAACCAGCCAUGCCGCGUGCAGGAUGACUGUCCUAUGGAUUGUAAACUGCUUUUGCAGGGGAAUAAAGUGCAUCACGUGUGAUGUUUUGUAUGUACUCUGCGAAUAAGGAUCGGCUAACUCCGUGCCAGCAGUCGCGGUAAUACGGAGGAACCGAGCGUUAUCCGGAUUUAUUGGGUUUAAAGGGUGCGUAGGCGGGAUAAUAAGUCAGUGGUGAAAGUUUGCAGCUUAACUGUAAAAUUGCCGUUGAAACUGUUAUUCUUGAGAGUAGAUAAGGUAGGCGGAAUGUGUUGUGUAGCGGUGAAAUGCAUAGAUAUAACACAGAACCCCGAUUGCGAAGGCAGCUUACCGGGCUACAUCUGACGCUGAUGCACGAAAGCGUGGGGAUCAAACA